rnacentral:tRNA from 1 species
AGCGAAGUGCCUGAAAAAGGAUUAUUGUGAUAGAAUAAAUCAUGUAAUAUUAAAUUAUUACCUUUGCUA